rnacentral:rRNA from 1 species
CAGGCUUAACACAUGCAAGUCGAGGGGCAGCAUUUUAGUUUGCUUGCAAACUGAAGAUGGCGACCGGCGCACGGGUGAGUAACACGUAUCCAACCUGCCGAUAACUCCGGAAUAGCCUUUCGAAAGAAAGAUUAAUACCGGAUAGCAUACGAAUAUCGCAUGAUAUUUUUAUUAAAGAAUUUCGGUUAUCGAUGGGGAUGCGUUCCAUUAGUUUGUUGGCGGGGUAACGGCCCACCAAGACUACGAUGGAUAGGGGUUCUGAGAGGAAGGUCCCCCACAUUGGAACUGAGACACGGUCCAAACUCCUACGGGAGGCAGCAGUGAGGAAUAUUGGUCAAUGGGCGGGAGCCUGAACCAGCCAAGUAGCGUGAAGGAUGAAGGCUCUAUGGGUCGUAAACUUCUUUUAUAUGGGAAUAAAGUUUUCCACGUGUGGAAUUUUGUAUGUACCAUAUGAAUAAGGAUCGGCUAACUCCGUGCCAGCAGCCGCGGUAAUACGGAGGAUCCGAGCGUUAUCCGGAUUUAUUGGGUUUAAAGGGAGCGUAGGUGGAUUGUUAAGUCAGUUGUGAAAGUUUGCGGCUCAACCGUAAAAUUGCAGUUGAAACUGGCAGUCUUGAGUACAGUAGAGGUGGGCGGAAUUCGUGGUGUAGCGGUGAAAUGCUUAGAUAUCACGAAGAACUCCGAUUGCGAAGGCAGCUCACUAGACUGUCACUGACACUGAUGCUCGAAAGUGUGGGUAUCAAACAGGAUUAGAUACCCUGGUAGUCCACACAGUAAACGAUGAAUACUCGCUGUUUGCGAUAUACAGUAAGCGGCCAAGCGAAAGCAUUAAGUAUUCCACCUGGGGAGUACGCCGGCAACGGUGAAACUCAAAGGAAUUGACGGGGGCCCGCACAAGCGGAGGAACAUGUGGUUUAAUUCGAUGAUACGCGAGGAACCUUACCCGGGCUUAAAUUGCAACAGAAUAUAUUGGAAACAGUAUAGCCGUAAGGCUGUUGUGAAGGUGCUGCAUGGUUGUCGUCAGCUCGUGCCGUGAGGUGUCGGCUUAAGUGCCAUAACGAGCGCAACCCUUAUCUUUAGUUACUAACAGGUCAUGCUGAGGACUCUAGAGAGACUGCCGUCGUAAGAUGUGAGGAAGGUGGGGAUGACGUCAAAUCAGCACGGCCCUUACGUCCGGGGCUACACACGUGUUACAAUGGGGGGUACAGAAGGCGGCUACCUGGUGACAGGAUGCUAAUCCCAAAAACCUCUCUCAGUUCGGAUCGAAGUCUGCAACCCGACUUCGUGAAGCUGGAUUCGCUAGUAAUCGCGCAUCAGCCAUGGCGCGGUGAAUACGUUCCCGGGCCUUGUACACACCGCCCGUCAAGCCAUGAAAGCCGGGGGUACCUGAAGUACGUAACCGCAAGGAGCGUCCUAGGGUAAAACUGGUAAUUGGGGCUAAGUCGUA